rnacentral:rRNA from 1 species
UACGGAGGAUGCGAGCGUUAUCCGGAUUUAUUGGGUUUAAAGGGUGCGCAGGCGGCGCGUCAAGUCAGCGGUAAAAUGUCGGGGCUCAACCCCGGCCGGCCGUUGAAACUGGCGUGCUCGAGUUGGAGAGAAGUAUGCGGAAUUCGUGGUGUAGCGGUGAAAUGCAUAGAUAUCACGAAGAACCCCGAUUGCGAAGGCAGCAUACCGGCUCCACACUGACGCUGAGGCACGAAAGCGUGGGUAUCGAACAGG